GACCCGUUAGCUCAGCAGGCAGAGCACCUGCCUUUUAAGCAGGGUGUCCGGAGUUCGAAUCUCCGACGGGUCA
rnacentral:tRNA from 1 species